ACAAAAGCAAGGGAUGUGCAUUCUUUCAAAAUACAUGUUUUAAAUUUUAUUAUAAUGAUGAUCCAUUGCCAACGUUAUGAUUUCUAGUUUUGGGGUUUUGACCUUUUCACUUUGCAAAGGUUGUAAGGUUUUGGGUGACCAGCCUCGCAGGGCUGUUGUUCUGCAAGGGUGAACUAUGAAAUAUUUGGGACACAUUUGAGAAACUGGAGGGAAAUUCCAAAAUGGAGGGGGAAGGCCUCCAUCUUCGAGGCUGAAUGGGAAAGGUGGGGGGGCUGUUUUUAAAAAAGUGCGGCUCACUCGCCCCUGAUUCUUCUUCCGGAUUGGCCGAGAGCAGAACAUUCUUCGCUCUCAUUGGCUGUUCCACAAAGGAAGGGAAGGACAGGUUGCCAGGAGAAACCAACGAUCCUGUUAACGUGCUUCACCCAGUGGCCGUUGUUGAGGGGGCUAUUCUAUAUCGGGAUCAAUAGGUUUGUGAUGUAGUUUGGCACAGUAAGCGGUCCUAUACUGUCCCAAUAAGAACAAUAGUUUGCGGACUGAGUUCUAUGGUUUUGGACUUCUUUGACCUUUAUGAGCUAUAUAAUGGCUGUUUCUGCUUUAGAAUAUCACAAAGACUGGAGGGCAUUAGUCGUGAGACCCAAAUUUUGGAGUUUUGUAGCCAGAGAGUUUUUCCAUUUAGACUGAAAAGUAUCUGCCAAAAUUAAUGAUAUCAUGCCCCUGUAACUCAGGAGAUGUAGAGAGAAAGUCCUUGGGAGUAAUGGAGGACAUGCCCUGGAAAAGAAGGACAUGCAAUUAGACAGGCUAAUGGCCCCAGCCUCCUCCUUUCUCUCUUCUCUUUCUGGUGAAGGAAUGGAUCCGGAUCUUGAGCUUGCCGUAGAGAAAUGGAAAGAUGAGAAGGCCCAGAAUACAGUCCAAGAAAAACAGAUAAAUGAUCUUAUCAAGGAAAUUCAAAGUCUAAAGAUAGCAAGGAUGAGGGACUCUGAAAAACACAAACAUGAAUUGGCCGCAGUGGAGCAAAAAAUGGCUGGGAUGGAUCUAGGUCUAGAACGCUUUGUGGAAAAAUGGAAGACAGAAUAGGCUAAAAAUUCUGUCCUAGCUAAAGAAAACAAAGGUUUGGAAAUCAACUAAAUAAGUAAAUAAACUGAAGCAGCGUCAGACCAGGAAAGGGAAGCUCAAAGACACGCUGAUGAAAUGGGUAUGCGUAUGAAAGUGGCAGAAUUAGAAGCCAAAAUUCGCAGCCUAAAAGUGUCCAAAAGCUCUUGGAAACCGUCCACGUAAAGAGGUGUGCAAGGCUUGGAAGUGUCCGAAUAGUGGCUGUCAAUGGAGGAACAAGCCGGGUGAACGUGAAUGUCGUUCCUGUGAAACGGUCAGGUCACGGUUUCCUGCUAUAUGAAUGAAAAAUCUAGUGUCCUGAGAGAGAGAUUUGGGACUGGAAGGGCUGCGGA